rnacentral:rRNA from 1 species
GAGUUUGAUCUUGGCUCAGAUUGAACGCUGGCGGCAUGCCUUACACAUGCAAGUCGAACGGCAGCAUGAUCUAGCUUGCUAGAUUGAUGGCGAGUGGCGAACGGGUGAGUAAUACAUCGGAACGUGCCCUGUAGUGGGGGAUAACUAGUCGAAAGAUUAGCUAAUACCGCAUACGACCUGAGGGUGAAAGUGGGGGACCGCAGGGCCUCAUGCUAUAGGAGCGGCCGAUGUCUGAUUAGCUAGUUGGUGGGGUAAAGGCCCACCAAGGCGACGAUCAGUAGCUGGUCUGAGAGGACGAUCAGCCACACUGGGACUGAGACACGGCCCAGACUCCUACGGGAGGCAGCAGUGGGGAAUUUUGGACAAUGGGGCAACCCUGAUCCAGCAAUGCCGCGUGUGUGAAGAAGGCCUUGGUGUAAGCGACUUUGUCCGGUAAGAAGUACGACACUACUAAUAUUAGGUAGUGGAGUGACGGUACCGG